AUGUAACUAACGAGUCCCAAAUGGGACGAAACGCGCAUCCUGAAU
rnacentral:hammerhead_ribozyme from 1 species